AAACCAACAGGGAUUGCCUCAGUAACGGCGAGUGAAGCGGCAAAAGCUCAAAUUUGAAACCCUCGGGAUUGUAAUUUGAAGAUUUGGCAUUGGAGAAAGCUAACCCAAGUUACUUGGAAUAGUACGUCAUAGAGGGUGACAACCCCGUCUGGCUAACCGUUCUCCAUGUAUUGCCUUAUCAAAGAGUCGAGUUGUUUGGGAAUGCAGCUCAAAGUGGGUGGUAAACUCCAUCUAAAGCUAAAUACUGGUGAGAGACCGAUAGCGAACAAGUACUGUGAAGGAAAGGUGAAAAGAACUUUGAAAAGAGAGUGAAAUAGUAUGUGAAAUUGUUGAUAGGGAAGGAAAUGAGUGGAGAGUGGUUUAGGUUUCAGCCUUCUUUCCGAGGGGGUGCACUACCAACGCCGAGUCAUUGAUAGCGAGACAGGGGGUUAUAAACGGACGGCACUUGUGCUAUUCUCCUAACCCCUUUACUGCCACCAACGACAUAAUCCACCCAUUUCAC
rnacentral:rRNA from 1 species